rnacentral:lncRNA from 1 species
ACGACGCACCAGGGGUGCCUGUAUCUGCUCGACCACUGGCUCUUUGGCUGGGAUUAGAGCAGGUCAGGCUGAGAUAGUCCCUUUGAACCUGAACAGGUUAAUACCUGCGUAGGGAGUGUGCAUUUCUUUUUCCUGUCUAUCACAGGGGGAGAGAGAGAGCUUUCGUUCAUGGCUCGGGCUAGCUGAUUAGUCACGUACAAGGCUGGGAGGCAUCUGCCUGGCAAUUCUUUGAUGCUUGCUCUUCUUUAAGAAAGCUUUACCAAACAGGAAAGCUAUGCGAUAAUUUGCUAUUUUGCUGCAUAGUAGUAAACCGUAUUUAUUUCCUCUCGUCAAUUCCAGCUGUCCUCCAAACUUGGUUUUAGGUUCAUUGGAAAACUUCUUUGAACUUGCACUAAACUAGAAAUUGCCUACACACUGUAUGAAUGAUGUGAGUUAUGGAAUCAAAAUCUUCCCUUAUCUCACUCCUAAUAUUGGAUUAUGCGGGUAAUUUAAUUAGGAGAGAGGGGCAAAAUGGUAAAUGAAUAUUUCUCUUAGGAUGAUAGA